UACAAGUUGGGGUUGAGCUUUAUCCAUGUUGAUGGGAUUUUUUUUUACAUGUUCUAAAGUGAUUUCUUAAAGCAGUAGUGCCAUUUGAAGAUGAAUCAGCAGCUAAUUCUUUUCCAUAAUAAGUACACUUACCUUUGAUGAAAUUGUUAGUUCCCAGUAGGCACAAUAGAUCUAGAAGGGGGGGUUGAAUAGAUCCUUUUUAAUUUCAAAUACUUUUU
rnacentral:lncRNA from 1 species